rnacentral:rRNA from 1 species
CCUUUAGAGAUAGAGGAGUGCUCGAAAGAGAGCCGUAACACAGGUGCUGCAUGGCUGUCGUCAGCUCGUGUCGUGAGAUGUUGGGUUAAGUCCCGCAACGAGCGCAACCCUUGUCAUUAGUUGCUACAUUCAGUUGGGCACUCUAAUGAGACUGCCGGUGACAAACCGGAGGAAGGUGGGGAUGACGUCAAGUCCUCAUGGCCCUUAUAGGUGGGGCUACACACGUCAUACAAUGGAUGGUACAAAGGGUCGCCAACCCGCGAGGGGGGAGCCAAUCCCAUAAAGCCAUUCGUAGUCCGGAUCGCAGUCUGCAACUCGACUGCGUGAAGUCGGAAUCGCUAGUAAUCGUGGAUCAGAAUGUCACGGUGAAUACGUUCCCGGGUCUU